ACAACUCAUGAACCCUGUGAACAUACCUAAAACGUUGCUUCGGCGGGAACAGACGGCCCCGUGAAACGGCCGGCCCCCGCGAGAGGACCCCCUAAUUCNGUUGCAAUAUGUAUCUUCUGAGUAAACAAGCAAAUAAAUUAAAACUUUCAACAACGGAUCUCUUGGCUCUGGCAUCGAUGAAGAACGCAGCGAAAUGCGAUAAGUAAUGUGAAUUGCAGAAUUCAGUGAAUCAUCGAAUCUUUGAACGCACAUUGCGCCCGCCAGUAUUCUGGCGGGCAUGCCUGUUCGAGCGUCAUUACAACCCUCAGGCCCCCGGGCCUGGCGUUGGGGAUCGGCGAGGCGCCCCCCUGCGGGCACGCGCCGUCCCCCAAAUACAGUGGCGGUCCCGCCGCAGCUUCCAUUGCGUAGUAGCUAACACCUCGCAACUGGAGAGCGGCGCGCCCAUGCCCGUAAACACCCAACUUCUGAAUG
rnacentral:rRNA from 1 species